UAACAGGGCAGAGCUGGCCCAGGCACCUUCACACCCCAGACCCGCAUGGGGCGCCUUCCAGCUGCUGAGCAGUGUGCCGCAAGCACCAGGCUGGGGGCCGCACCUCUGCCGUGAAAGGCAAGUGGCCGGUGGGCUGGUUUCAGCCAGAGGUUCAGGCCCCCAGCAGGAGCCCAGCUGUGAGGGAGUCUGUAGCCUUGUCACUUCCCUUCUAGGGCUUUCAGGACGGGGAGAGGGGCUCGUGCGCUCUGGGCGGCCCAGGACAGACUCCCGGCUUCCGUGGAGGUCAGAUGCUCCGUGCGUGGUAGCAGGGACUUGCUCGCUUGCACGCACAGGUGAUACCGGCCCCAGCCUGUACCUUGCAUAUUGGUGCGCCCCUGCGGAGCCUCACCCCAUGGCACCUGGGCAAGCCCAGCCCUGCUCCCUGGAGAGCUGCAGCCAACCGAGAGCGUCUGCCUGCAGCCUCUGCGGCCCAAAAUCAAAGGCUGGGUGCUGGCUGUGGAGACAAUUUUGCCUUCGGAUCCAGCCCUUCCGGGUUGCCUGGAGCCUGAAGGCCGGACUUUCCCUCUCAUCCUCAGGCUGCAGAUCAGACCUAGAGACAGAGGCCAGUCUGGUCCCCAGGGACCCUGGCCCUUGCUCCACACAAGCCUCUCCAGGUGCUGCCACCCAGCCAGCGCCCCGGACCCGGGAGAGCAGGAGAUGCUGCUGAAAUGGAAGCACAGCCCAGAGAUGACAGGAAGCUGACAGGAAGCGGGGACCUCAGCCCCGGGACUCUGGCCCAGCGGUGCCCCAGGACAUACCCAUGGGGAUGCACUGAGACCCGUGGGGAGCAGGGGCUGGAGACACAGCCAAAGCCCCGGCAGCUGCCAGAGCCCAGCCCCACUUCCUGGGAGCCUGACGGGGUGCAGGCGCUGCCCUAGCUGGGCACUCUUGCCUUCUGAGCAGGCAUGUGCCAGGCACUACGGCCCGCCCGAGAGAGAGUCACAGGCCUUUUCUUGUUCGUUUUAUCUCCGUGUUACAGACAGCUGUUAGUUUGGGACAUUAAUUGCCUGGGCGAGUCUAUUGAUACUUCUGAUGUAACAGAGCACCGGAGAAGAUGUCCCCACGUCCAAAAUGUCAGAUCUGAGAAGAAGCAGAUUCGGGGACUGGAGACCCCACAGCGCAGACACUGCGAUUUUACUUCAGUGUGAAAUGAGGAGCGAAGAGAGAAGGAUCAGCCGAAAAAAGAAAAAAAGAAAAGUAAAAGGAAAAAAGUACACAAAAGGCAAAACAUCCUCAAAUCGUCAUUUUAUACAGUGCAGAAGGAAACUGAAAAUAUGUGUCUCACAAACGCUGCACCCCGACAGCCGAAAUACUAAAAAAGGCG